GAUGAACGCUAGCGGCAGGCCUAAUACAUGCAAGUCGAACGGUGCCUUCGGGCAUAGUGGCGCACGGGUGCGUAACACGUAUGCAACCUACCUUACAUUGGGGGAUAGCCUUUCGAAAGGGAGAUUAAUACCGCAUAAGACAGUGGCAUGGCAUCAUGCAGCUGUUAAAGAUUUAUCGAUGUAAGCUGGGCAUGCGUCCAAUUAGUUAGUUGGUGAGGUAACGGCUCACCAAGACGAUGAUUGGUAGGGG
rnacentral:rRNA from 1 species